UACGUAGGGUCCGAGCGUUGUCCGGAAUUAUUGGGCGUAAAGAGCUCGUAGGCGGUCUGUCGCGUCGGCUGUGAAAACACGGGGCUCAACUCCGUGCCUGCAGUCGAUACGGGCAGACUAGAGUUCGGUAGGGGAGACUGGAAUUCCUGGUGUAGCGGUGAAAUGCGCAGAUAUCAGGAGGAACACCGGUGGCGAAGGCGGGUCUCUGGGCCGAAACUGACGCUGAGGAGCGAAAGCGUGGGGAGCAAACAGG
rnacentral:rRNA from 1 species